AAUGAACGCUGGCGGCAGGCCUAAAACAUGCAAGUCGAACGCUGUAGCAAUACAGAGUGGCGCACGGGUGAGUAACAUGUGGGAAUAUGCCUUUUGGUACGGAACAACGUUUGGAAACGAACGCUAAUACCGUAUGGUCCCUUCGGGGUAAAGAUUUAUCGCCAAAAGAUUAGCCCGCACUAGAUUAGCUAGUUGGUGAG
rnacentral:rRNA from 1 species